rnacentral:rRNA from 1 species
GACGAACGCUGGCGGCGUGCUUAACACAUGCAAGUCGGACGGUUGGCACUGGAAGGUUCGCUGGAAGGUGCUGAUAGUGGCGGACGGGUGAGUAACGCGUGAGGACAUGUCUGCAGGAGGGGGAUAACGUUUGGAAACGGACGCUAAGACCCCGUAAGCCGGGAGGUGAAAGUGGCGAAAGCCAGCCUGUGGAGUGACUCGCGUCCUAUCAGCUAGUUGGCGGGGUGAAGGCCCACCAAGGCGAUGACGGGUAGCCGACCUGAGAGAGUGGCCGGCCACACUGGGACAGAGAUACGGGCCCGACGCCUACGGGAGGCAGCAGUGGGGAAUAUUGGGCAAUGGGCGGAAGCCUGACCCAGCGACGCCGCGUGGGGGAAGAAGUCUUUCGGGAUGUAAACCCUUGUUGUACGGGACGAAGGAAGUGACGGUACCGUACGAGGAAGCCCCGGCAAACUACGUGCCAGCAGCCGCGGUAA